AUUAAACGCUGGCGGCAUGCCUUACACAUGCAAGUCGAACGGCAGCACGGGGGCAACCCUGGUGGCGAGUGGUGGACGGGUGAGUAAUACAUCGGAACGUGCCCUGGAGUGGGGGAUAACGCAGCGAAAGCUACGCUAAUACCGCAUAUUCUGUGAGCAGGAAAGCAGGGGAUCGCAAGACCUUGCGCUUUGGGAGCGGCCGAUGUCGGAUUAGCUAGUUGGUGGGGUAAAGGCCUACCAAGGCGACGAUCCGUAGCGGGUCUGAGAGGAUGAUCCGCCACACUGGGACUGAGACACGGCCCAGACUCCUACGGGAGGCAGCAGUGGGGAAUUUUGGACAAUGGGCGGAAGCCUGAUCCAGCCAUGCCGCGUGA
rnacentral:rRNA from 1 species